AUUGAACGCUGGCGGCAGGCCUAACACAUGCAAGUCGGACGGUAGCACAGAGGAGCUUGCUCCUCGGGUGACGAGUGGCGGACGGGUGAGUAAUGUCUGGGGAUCUGCCCGAUAGAGGGGGAUAACCACUGGAAACGGUGGCUAAUACCGCAUAACGUCGCAAGACCAAAGAGGGGGACCUUCGGGCCUCUCACUAUCGGAUGAACCCAGAUGGGAUUAGCUAGUAGGCGGGGUAACGGCCCACCUAGGCGACGAUCCCUAGCUGGUCUGAGAGGAUGACGAGCCACACUGGAACUGAGGCACGGUCCAGACGCCUACGGGAGUCAGCAGUGAGGAAUAUUGCACAAUGGGCGCAAGCCUGAUGCAGCCAUGCCGCGUGUAUGAAGAAGGCCUUCGGGUUGUAAAGUACUUUCAGCGGGGAGGAAGGCGAUGUGGUUAAUAACCGCAUUGAUUGACGUUACCCGCAGAAGAAGCACCGGCUAACUCCGUGCCAGCCGCCGCGGUAA
rnacentral:rRNA from 1 species